AGCGAACGCUGGCGGCAGGCCUAACACAUGCAAGUCGAACGAACCCUUCGGGGUUAGUGGCGGACGGGUGAGUAACACGUGGGAACGUGCCUUUAGGUUCGGAAUAACUCAGGGAAACUUGUGCUAAUACCGAAUGUGCCCUUCGGGGGAAGGAUUUAUCGCCUUUAGAGCGGCCCGCGCCUGAUUAGCUAGUUGGUGAGGUAAUGGCUAACCAAGGCUACGAUCAGUAGCUGGUCUGAGAGGAUGACCAGCCACAUUGUGACUGAGACACGGCCCAAACUCCUACGGGAGGCAGCAGUGGGGAAUCUUGCGCAAUGGGCGAAAGCCUGACGCAGCCAUGCCGCGUGGAUGAUGAAGGUCUUAGGAUUGUAAAAUCCUUUCACCGGUGAAGAUAAUGACUGUAGCCGGAGAAGAAGCCCCGGCUAACUUCGUGCCAGCCGCCGCAGUAAAAC
rnacentral:rRNA from 1 species